GUAGGUGAACCUGCGGAAGGAUCAUUAAAGAAUCGGCGGUCCUCGCGGCCCCAUUCUCACCCUUUGCAUACCUAAACUACAGUUGCUUUGGCCGGCCCCCGGGCCGGCCAGAGGACCUAAACCCUUGAAUCAUUGCUGUCUGAGUACUAUACAAUAGUUAAAACUUUCAACAACGGAUCUCUUGGUUCUG
rnacentral:misc_RNA from 1 species